rnacentral:tRNA from 1 species
GGAGAGGUGGCUGAGUGGUUGAAAGUACCGCACUCGAAAUGCGGCGUACUCGAAAGGGUAUCGUGGGUUCGAAUCCCACCCUCUCCGCCA